GGGUCAGUAGGUUGGUCGUGCCACCGGUACGUACUGGUCUCACUGAUUCCUCUUCCUGAAGAACCGUAAUGCCAUUAAUUUGGUGUUGCGGGGAAACAGGACUGUUACUUUGAAAAAAUUAGAGUGUUUAAAGCAAGCUAACGCUUGAAUACAUUAGCAUGGAAUAAUGAAAUAGGACGAUCGAUCCUAUUUUGUUGGUUUCUAGGAUUGACGUA
rnacentral:rRNA from 1 species